rnacentral:rRNA from 2 species
GCCAGCAGCCGCGGUAAUACGUAGGGUGCGAGCGUUGUCCGGAAUUACUGGGCGUAAAGAGCUCGUAGGUGGUUUGUCGCGUUGUUCGUGAAAACUCACAGCUUAACUGUGGGCGUGCGGGCGAUACGGGCAGACUGGAGUACUGCAGGGGAGACUGGAAUUCCUGGUGUAGCGGUGGAAUGCGCAGAUAUCAGGAGGAACACCGGUGGCGAAGGCGGGUCUCUGGGCAGUAACUGACGCUGAGGAGCGAAAGCGUGGGGAGCGAACAGGAUUAGAUACCCUGGUAGUCCACGCGUAAACGGUGGGUACUAGGUGUGGGUUUCCUUCCUUGGGAUCCGUGCCGUASUAACGCAUUAAGUACCCCGCCUGGGGAGUACGGCCGCAAGGCUAAAACUCAAAGAAAUUGACGGGGGCCGCACAAGCGGCGGAGCAUGUGGAUUAAUUCGAUGCAACGCGAAGAACCUUACCUGGGUUUGACAUGCACAGGACGCCGGCAGAGA